rnacentral:tRNA from 1 species
GCCUGGGUGGCUCAGUUGGUUAAGUAUCUGAUUUCAGCUCAGGUCAUGAUCCCGUUCGUGAGUUCGAGCCCCACAUCGGGUU